GACGAACCGAGCGACCGUUGUUCGGAAUCACUGGGCUUAAAGGGCGCGUAGGCGGGCUGCCAAGUUUGGGGUGAAAUCCUCCGGCUCAACCGGAGCAGUGCCUCGAAUACUGGCGGUCUCGAGGGAGGUAGGGGCGUGCGGAACUGUGGGUGGAGCGGUGAAAUGCGUUGAUAUCCACAGGAACUCCGGUGGCGAAGGCGGCACGCUGGACCUUUUCUGACGCUGAGGCGCGAAAGCCAGGGGAGCGAACGGG
rnacentral:rRNA from 1 species